UACAGAGGUCUCGAGCGUUAGGCGGAAUCACUGGGCUUAAAGCGUGUGUAGGUGGAUCGGUAAGUACCUUGUGAAAUCCCACGGCUUAACCGUGGAACUGCCUGGUAUACUGCCAGUCUUGAGCCAGCUAGGGGCUACCGGAACAAAUGGUGGAGCGGUGAAAUGCGUAGAUAUCAUUUGGAACGCCAAUGGUGAAAACAGGUAGCUGGGGCUGUGCUGACACUGAGACACGAAAGCCAGGGGAGCAAACGGG
rnacentral:rRNA from 1 species